UUCAAUAACUGUACUGCCUUUUAUUGCAAUUAACCGACAGCAACCUUCAGUGAAUGUGCACGUGUUUGCCUAUUUGUAAAUGUAUAAAAGUGUUUCUGUUUACUAAAUUAAUUUGAGUGAAUAAAAUAAGUGUUUUUCAAUAUAAUAAGAAUGAAUAAUAGAAAAAAAUCUGCCAGAAAUAUGAGGGAAGACGACAUUUUGGCGAUUAUCAAUUCCAGCGACUCUGACAACAGCUCAUUGCGCAAGGAAGAGUUGGGACAAAAGUCAAAAGGACAUCUACAACAAAAGGACCCAGGUCAAAAAGAGCAAAAAAAAUGUUAAACGUGGGAGAUCAUAUGCCAGUAAAAGGUGAUCGCCGCAGACGCUGUGUUUUAUGCACCUCAAUAAAAAAAGAAAAACGCACGUAUUACAUUUGUUCAAUGUGCAAAGAGCCCUUAUGCUUUGAAUGUUUUGGCAUGUUCCAUAAAUAAAUAAAACUUAAAUUGAGUUACAAAUAAAAACUAAAUUUUAUUAUUCUCAAAAAAUUAUAC